rnacentral:lncRNA from 1 species
GCAUGAUACAAAUAAUCCAAGUGGAUAUGCUUAAAAGAGGUCAGAGGAAGCAGGAAAGAGUCCAAGAUUCUCUAAUUAUCCAAAAUUUAUUAUACAAAAUUUAUAAAGAGAGCAGAUGGGAAAGGUAGAGACCCUAUUCAGAAAAAAUAAGCUCAUCAAAGAUUGUUGGCAUAAUGGCAAAACCCCAGUUCACUGCAAGUUUUGCUAUCUCUUACACUCAAGGACUUUUGUACCAAUUAGAGCAGAAACGGUUCUGUCUCAGUUUUUCUGAGAUGUUGACUUGUCAUUGAACUCUCAGCCUCAGUUGACACCUCAUCCUUGACUGGAAACCUCUCUUAUACUUCAUUUAGCACAGGGGGUGGGAAGCCACAGCUCAUAGACCCAAACAUGGUCUAAGGGUUAAGAAUGCUAUUUAUAUUCUUAAAUGGUUCAAAAAAUUAAGAGGAAAAUAACAUUUUGUGACAAGAAAAUUACAUGAGACUAACACUUCAAUGUCUAUACACAAAGUUAUAUUUGCACAUAGCCAUGGCUGUUCAUUACACAUUAUGUAUGGCUGUUUUCACACUAUGAUGGCAAAGUUACAUAGCUCAACAUAGCCUGCGUGGCUCACAGAGACUCAGGUAGUCAUUAUCUGGCCCUUUACAGAGACAGCUUACCAACCUCAGAUCUAGCACUAUACGCCAUCUUGGUUUUGGAAUUCAUAAAUAAAAUCCUAAAAUUUGAGAGUAGAAAGAGGAUUUAGAAAGUCCCUGUUGACAUCUCUGAUUCAUAUCUAGCUAAGGACAGCAGACUUAUUUUUUGUG